GAGUGUGGAAGGGGAACACCAUGAGAAAGCCGUGGAACUCCUCAAGGCUGCUAAGGACAGUGUCAAGCUGGUGGUCCGAUACACCCCAAAAGUCUUGGAAGAAAUGGAGGCUCGAUUUGAAAAGCUCCGGACAGCGCGGCGUCGGCAGCAGCAGCAAUUGCUAAUUCAGCAGCAGCAACAGCAGCAGCAGCAACAAACACAGCAAAACCAUAUGUCAUAGGUCCUUGAAGCAAAGCUCUUUGAUGCAACACCCUAUAGUCACCACUUUGCAACCGUGCUUCAGAAUCCCAGCACAUAGUCAAGGAGACAACACUGAUAAUUAUACCCGUCAGCAAACUGUGAACACGUGGUGUGUAAAUUCUUUACCAAGGCAACUCGACACCUUCUCUCUCUGGGGCUCAACCCCCGCUGCUCAUGUGCUCUUUACACACACAGACCUUCCAUUCACUGCAGUGGGACUUCUCAGUGUGUAAAGGGAGUGGUUUUCCAGUCUGCAGACUGAAACAGUAUACGAAUAAAGUCCAUGACUUUCCGAUAAAUCACCAGGGCCAGGGUUAAGGGCAUCUUGGGUCUUACAGCUUUUCCAGAGGCGAACACAUCCCUCUUUAGACUCGUUCAAACUGCAUCAGUUCAAGGUCGUCGCCACUUAAUGGAAACCUACACACUGCUCCCCAUCCUGACCUGCUCCACAUCUGUAUUGCUGGGUAGUCUAAAUGAGAAUUCCAGUUACGUGCAAAUUCAGCCUCUGUUCUCCUCUUAAAAAUGGCAAGUUAUUAUACCAUAUUCAUACUCUCUUCAGGUUCUAGAAGCAACCGGCUUUUUAUUUCCUGUUUCCAUGCAUUUUAUUAUGCAUUAAUGGAGUGGGGCAAUUUCAGCACAACUUUUAGUUGGUUAGAAGCAAGGAUAGCGAACUCUAGUACCGUAUUUUUUCUUUAAGUCUUGCUGUGUCUAAUUCUAACAGAAUACAAUACCUGUUUAUUCCACACAAUAUAUAUUAUCAAAGUGCAUUUGUUACAACCUUAGGUCUUUUCUUACCAAGUAUUAUGAAUCUGGGAAGAGAUUACUAGCAAAGGACCUGGCUUCAUGAACUGGUCCUCAUAUGAUAUUUAUAUGUAACCCUGCUCUCAGUACUUUUUGUUAAGUUUUAUAUUUUUGAUUGAUAAACUCCGGAGAAAUCUAAACGCUUUUUACCUACAGUAAUGUGCUAUCAUAGAAGUCUAUUUGACACUUUAAAGCUUAGGGCUUACAAAACUAAAUUAUAUAUAUGUGUGUAUAUAUAUAGAUCACACAAAAAUAUACGUGAUAAAAUUUAGAUCAGUUUCCCCCAAUAUAAACUGGAUAUUUUUGGCAAUCAAAGAUCCAAAAUUAGGCAUAUGGAAACCAGUGAUAUUAAUAUUGUGAAUGAAAAGAUGCUGCUGCUCCUAGGGUAAAAGUGUACAUACUUCAUCAUACACAUUCAUGAAGGUAAAUGGACAAUGAUAUAGCAUCUUUCAGCAAGUAUCAUUCACUGAGAUACGAUUGGUUAGAGUCACCUAUACUGAUAAUAACUUUUGACAUGGUGAAUCUAGGCGUAUAAAUCUGAUUUUACAUUAUGGAAUUAACAGGAGGCAGUAAUUAUUUGGGCACAUAAACACCUUAGCCACACAAAUGCACUGAAAAAAAGAAUAUCCAGUUGAAACAUUCUAGAUAGAUCAUUAAAACUGAGGCAAAUAUUUCCAUAUUCUCUUUGAUUCUCCAAGAGACAAUAAGUUUCACAUUUUAGAAAGUCCCUCAAAUUAGAAAUUCACAAAGCUCAGUUUAGGAACUGCUUUCUUGAAUACAACCAACUGGAACAUUCUGCCCUGUCAGGUGGUAUUAUUGUCAAUGCCAGGCUCUGCCUACUCUUCCUAGUCUAUCACUCCGCAGAGGACAAACAGCCAGGAAAGCAGGAGGUGUACCAUUUUCAGCAGUGCCCUGCUGUGGUAACAGAUUCCCAUCCUUGAAUGCAUAUCAUUUUUUACUAGAGAGAACUGGGGGGGAGGGCAAGGGUAAGGACCCUGAAUGUUAUGUAAAAUAGGUUUACAAAAAAAAAAAAAAGAUAAGCAUGACUAAAGGGAAUGAGUGGAGAAUACAUGAGUAUUAUUCAGUUUGAAAGAGUCCUCAUUUUUAUAAGAAAAAUUUAAGAAAACAUAUAUUUUAGUUAUCAUUUAACAGAAACUAUUAAAGCUAUUCAGGCUGUGCCACAGAUUCUCAUAAAGGGAAAUCACUGCAGCCUCUAAUGAGAAAAUGGUCAUUUCAACACAUCCCAGUACAUUGUAUAAAUUUGGAGCUUAAGAUAUGUUUCCAUUAAUACUAAAUUAUCAUGUUCUCACGUCAAUAUAAAUUCUGUCAUGGCAUUACAGAAGCAAUUAUCAAGUGAGCAGAUAAUUUAUAUUUGUGUUUUCUAGAAGUCUUUGUAUUUAAUGCUUCAUUUACAUCACUUUCAAGUGCCAAUAAAUGUAUGCCAAGUCCUUCGUCCAAGUGAAGGGGCACUCCAUCACACCUAAGGCAUCUCAGGACACUUUACACGUCACACUUGUCCUACAUACAAAUGACCAGACAAAUGGCCAAUUUUCUUCAGUAACUAGUUGUUGAAACGUAAGCCUGCCCUUAAAGUUUUAAUCGAAAGUAGUCAUCCCCAAGUUUUAGGCACCUUGUGGUUCUCUAAAGGUUCACUGAAGCCAGAGGGAAGGAAAAGAAAAAAGCAAUGACCGCAACUUAUAUUGAUGCUCUUUAUUAUUAAUGAUCAGAUCAGAACCCCUGACAGGUCCUAAAUCAUACUAAAAUGAGGACAUAUCAGGUUGCUUUUGCAUGGAUCUCAAUCUUUAAUGUCAGAAACAAAUGAGAUAGUGAAAGAGGAAAAAUCUGUUGUGACUCUUCAUCAGUGAUCCUGGUGAAUUUUAGGUCUUCCCCUUGGUCAGGUUGGUGGCCAGACUUUUCUAAGCUCUUUCCUACUGUGAUUUUAAAGGCAAGUACACAGAGCAAAAUUCAGUAGAAGAAUACCCGAACCUUUUCAUUGAGGCAUUUACAUUUCGAUUCUGUUGCCAUUUGAAAUAGAACAUCCACAGGGAGAUAAUGAGCUUAAAUUACAAUUGACUUUGGAAAGAAUAACAGAUUUUGUGCUUCCUCAAUCAUGUAAUCAAUAGGGAAUUCUCUAGUUAUGUGAACUACCACUAUCUCUUAAGACAAUGCUAAGAUCUAAAUGCAAAAUCUAUCAUUCAGGAGGGUUUUAAAGAAUUCAGGGCUAUCUCUGAAGAACUUGGCUCCAGAUGGAUUACCCCAAUUUACAACUGCGGGUUUCAGCCGUGACGAACUGAUCUGAUCUCAGUUCAUUUGACUCGGCUGUGCCCAUAGGACUCUGAGACAUUGGAGUACUUUGUCUGCAUUAUUUUUUAACAUCAGUAGAUACUUGUGGAUGUGUGAAUAAUGCUUGAACGUCUCAUCUUUUUGCUAGUUUAUGUUUAUCACCACACACAGCCUAUUAGUAAGACCAGCUUUAGCAGCAGCAUGAAGUAGAGAUCAAAGGUCUGACGAUUCAGGGAGGCCAAUGUAAAGCAAAAUCUCCCAAAAUAUGGGGUAGUCCUACCCAUCUCAUUCCUUUCUAGAUCAUAAAAUCCAUCAGAAAGCGCUGCAACUGCCUUGUGGACUGAAGUGUCCCUGGCAACUGGGAUAAUACCAGCACGAUGGAAGCACUCAGUCAGUAUUUGUUGAAUGAAUGAACAAUUGAAUAGGUGGAUAGACAGAUAACUGAAUUCUGCCUUUUGAUAACUGGAAAAAAUUCAGCAAUUGAUGUUAUACUAAUUGGCACUACAGUUUCUACACAGAACCAGAAUUGACUCUUCAUAAAUAUUUUUUAGAGAAGUGAAUCAAUGACUUUGAAGUCUUUAAGGGUUUGGGAAAAUUUAGACAGGAGUAAAGUUUGAGGAUUCAGACAAUGAAUAAACAAAUGAAUGAAUGAAUAAAACUCAACCUUUCUAGUUAUCUCUGAAUUAUGUGACAAGGAUGGACUAAACAUGCAAUUCCACUUUUAAAUUUAGUAAAAUAUAAUGUUUUCAUUUAAAAGAAAAUUCACAUCAUCAAGCGUAUUAUUCGUGCCCUUUUCAAUAUUAACAACUUUUCUUUAAGGCAUUCAUUAUCAUUGGAAACACCAUCUCUAAAUCUUUUCCUGCCUUCAAAAGAUCACUUCUACUUUUUUUUUUUUUUUUUGCCUUUUCUAGGUCCACACCCAUGGCAUAUGGAGGUUCCCAGGCUAGGGGUCUUAGCGGAGCUGUAGCCACCCGCCUACGCUAGAACCACAGCAACGCAGGAUCCAAGCCUUGUCUGCGACCUACGCCACAGCUCACGGCAACACUGGAUCCUUAACCCACUGAGCAAGGCCAAGGAUUGAACCCACCACCUCAUGGUUCCUAGUCGGAUUUGUUAGCCACUGAGCCACGACAGGAACUCCCACUUCUCCUUUCUUAUUUGAUUCCUAGAAUGUACCUGAGCUAAUAAUUAAUCAUGUUGCAAUUAAGAAUUUUCCAUGUGUUCAUUCAUCAAACAAAUAUUUAAUGCAUACCUAGCACAUACUAGGUUAUGGAAAUACAAUGGCAAAAAAAGACAGAUACGGUGCCCCCAUGGGGAUUGCUGUGAGGAACUCCUCAAAGCUGAUUCUAGCAAUAACUACAGUUUACUGUCUAUUGGGUCCCUUUUCAGAGCUGACAGAAGAAAUGAAAUCCCUUACCCCAUGGAAAUCAUGAAAGGCUCUCUGCACAUAUUUAUGUGAGCUUGCUUUUCUAAAUACACCACUCAAAAAUGCUGCUCAGUUUAUCCAUACACAAUAGUUACACACCAGUGAGGUAAGUACUAAUUUAUUCCUAACCAACACUUAUUUAGCUAUUACUAGGUUCUACUGUGCUCAACACAUUCAUAGACUAUCUCACUGAAUCCUUUCAACAACUCUAGUAGGUUCUAUUUUAUAGACAAGAAAACUGAAGCACAGAUAUGUGACUUGCCCAUGGUCACACAGCAGACGGAACUGGGAUUUGAACCCAUGCAGUAUAACAGGAGUUCGUGUGUCUUAUCAUUAUCUGUGGCUUCGGGGGACACCAUUACAUUAAAAUAAAUGUCAUUAAAAUGGGUCACUGUAUAUAAAAGUACUUUGAAAUUGUAAAGUAGUAUACAAUAAGAUAUUAGUAAAAUAUUACAAUCAACAGAACACAUCAGUGGAAGAAAGAGAGUGAAAACUCAAUUUUAUGUUACAGCUAACUCUGAUGAGGAUGUUUCAAGCCAGAGAAAUGGAUAAAGGACAGAUCCAGAAAGUUUAUGGCAUGUGAUAAAUAUUGCAAUGACUUUUCAGAAGUAUCAAUUGUUAGACACUGUGUCUAUUUGGUGCUACAAAAAAAAAUGAACAAAACAAAAUCCCUUGCUAUAAGGGCUUAUAAUAAACACACAGUGUGGAGAUGAAUCAAGGAUAUUUCACAUUUGGGGGAAGGACUGGGUGGUAGUACUAUUUUCUCACCAUUGCAUGUGAUCUUGUCUUUCUAAUUGUUUUUCAUUAUUUUUCUGAAAGAGCUGCAAAAUUGUGCAGUGGUUCAACCUGACCAAAGUGGUAUUAUGCUGCUGGGAAGUAAAAGUACUAGAUACCAGAC
rnacentral:lncRNA from 1 species